ACGUGGCAUCAUUAUGAUCUAUCAGCUCUUUUUUUCCCCUCUCUUCUUCUCCGUCCUUUUCCUUUCUCUGCACCUCGGUGAAAUAUGGCGCUGAGGGCCGCUCAGCUUCCGAUACCUUCCAGAAUUCACCUCACCACUCAGCAGUUCGCUGCCCCCACCCAACUUUCAUGGUGUCGCACUGCAUCGCCUGACACAGUCCUCCUUCUCCCUUCCCUUUCCCUUUCUACCUCUGCUGGAGCAAUAUUGCAUACAAGUCCCCCGGUGAGAUGCACGGCUCAGGUUCAGACGACGGGGGCGGUGAAUCUUGGUCCUGGGACUCCUGUCAGGGCAACAAGUAUACUGGUGGUUGGGGCUACUGGGACUCUGGGAAGGCAGGUUGUGAGGCGCGCGCUUGACGAAGGUUACGACGUUAGGUGCCUCGUCAGGCCUAGGCCUGCUCCGGCCGACUUCCUUCGAGAUUGGGGUGCCACUGUUGUCAAUGCAGACCUCAGCAAACCAGAGACCAUUCCUGCCACGUUGGUUGGAAUACAUACGGUCAUCGACUGUGCCACCGGACGUCCAGAGGAGCCCAUUAAAACUGUAGAUUGGGAAGGAAAAGUUGCUCUUAUACAGUGUGCUAAGGCAAUGGGAAUUCAGAAAUAUGUCUUCUAUUCCAUCCAUAACUGCGAUAAACAUCCGGAGGUUCCACUGAUGGAGAUCAAGUAUUGCACCGAGAGGUUUCUCCGUGAUUCAGGCCUCCAACACAUCAUUAUCCGUUUGUGUGGUUUCAUGCAAGGUCUUAUUGGGCAGUACGCAGUUCCAAUCCUGGAAGAGAAAUCCGUCUGGGGUACUGAUGCCCCAACAAGAAUUGCUUACAUGGACACUCAGGAUAUAGCUCGCUUGACAUUUAUAGCCUUGCGGAAUGAGAAAGUAAAUGGGAAACUUCUUACAUUUGCUGGUCCUCGUGCUUGGACAACGCAAGAGGUGAUUACAUUGUGUGAGAGGCUUGCAGGUCAAGAUGCCAACGUAACUACAGUUCCAGUCUCCAUUUUGAGACUCACUCGUCAGUUGACUCGUUUUUUUGAGUGGACAAAUGAUGUUGCCGACAGAUUAUCUUUUUCAGAGGUGUUAACAAGCGACACCGUGUUCUCCGUUCCAAUGGCAGAGACAUAUAAUCUUCUUGGCGUGGAUCAGAAAGAUAUAAUUACAUUAGAGAAGUAUUUGCAGGACUACUUCACAAACAUAUUGAAGAAGUUGAAGGAUCUUAAAGCACAGUCGAAGCAAACGGAUAUAUACUUCUGAAAGAUGAGUUUGUGAAACCUGAAAACAAGGAACUCAUAAUAAAGAUCCAUACGCGAAUGUUUGGGACCGUGGACCCGAAAGCUUCCCAACAGCAUCCGACUUCUUCACAGGCCAUUGCAAAAGUACUUAUCAGCCAAAAUGCACACAACGUGAAAAAUUCGAAACUUUGCGAGCAUUUCGACCCAUGUUCAAGUAAUUCACCAGCAAGCAAUUGUGCUUACAUAGAUUGUGUUGCAGAAUUCUCAAAUGAAAGGCAUGUGUUAACGAUUUAUUAUGACUCAAUUAACAAGGUACUCCAAAUGACAACUUAUUGUGGCUCAAUUGAUAAGUCAGGGUGCAAUAGAAUGAAUGUAUAGGCACAAUUGACGAGUGAAGAAGUUAGACAAGAGAAGGUGCUAAGAACAAGAUAGUCAAUUCACAAUUGCAAUCUCUUAUCCAUAAAUUCCUCGGGACUUUUGAGAUUAAAUUAAAUAUUUCGAGGACCUUGCAUUAAUAAAAUAUCUUGGAAUUUGAAUGUAGUUUUUGCCGCCAAAAACAAAAACUUUGCAUCUUCCUUUAUGUGCAAGACUUGCAAGCUUAACAUUGUUGCCCUUCUGACAAGCUUCUCACCCACCGGCGACCUUCUCUUCUGUCUUCCGCAUAAGGGAGGGAAGAGAGCUUGCAUCGAAAGGGUAGAUUGGCAUAGAAGCUUGUGGGAGAUUGCUGCGAUGAUGUGAUGGAAGACGCAAUAGAGGUUUUGCGAGGAAGUUGGGAGCCUGUUCUGCACUUGGAGCUGGAUUGUGGAGUGCAGAGGCCAGAGAACAAAAUGUUGAAUAACUGAUAAUUGAAAAUGAUUCUGCAGUACUUGUUAGUAUGUUAGGAAGGCUACGUGAUGAAGAGAAGACCAAGGUAAGCCUGCCGGAGCUUGUACAAAAUGAGUUGACUAAAUUUGUACACGUUAGGGUACAACGUGUAUAGAAAAGGUAACUCUUGUGCAAAUUUUUUAGCCAAUUGUAGUUUAGAACAGGAUGAGGUGUAGGGUUUGUUGAUGAUCCAACUCACAGUGCGGAAGCUAUUGUACAAUGACUAUGCGGGAAUUGCCUUCCCAUGAGCUGUUUUGAUAUAAUAUUGAUGGGCAGUAGCCCUGAGUUUUCAUCCCC